rnacentral:rRNA from 1 species
AUUGAACGCUGGCGGCAGGCCUAACACAUGCAAGUCGAGCGAGCGGCGGACGGGUGACUAAUAUCUCGGGAACUGCAUGAUGGUGGGGGAUAACUACUGGAAACGGUAGCUAAUACCGCAUACCAUCAGAUGUGCUCCCAUGGGACGAGCUAGUAGGUGGGGUAACGGCGCACCUAGGCGACGAUCCCUAGCUGGUCUGAGAGGAUGACCAGCCACACUGGAACUGAGACACGGUCCAGACUCCGACGGGAGGCAGCAGUGGGGAAUAUUGCACAAUGGGCGCAAGCCUGAUGCAGCCAUGCCGCGUGUGUGAAGAAGGCCUUCGGGUUGUAAAGCACUUUCAGCGGGGAGGCGUUACCCGCAGAAGAAGCACCGGCUAACUCCGUGCCAGCAGCCGCGGUAAUAC